GCUUCUCCUAGAAGCAUUGCAGGUGUGGCCACUGUGUCACAUGUGUAUCAAUCAGUAGGUGACAGAGAGGAGGAGAGAGGUUAUGUUUAUGCCCAGUGUUCUGACCUGUGAACAUCUGAUUGAUUAGUAGCCUAAGAUC
rnacentral:snoRNA from 1 species